rnacentral:sRNA from 1 species
CGAGAGGCCAUGGCCCGCCAGACCGUAGUCUCAGACACAGAGCUGAGUAUUGUUGAAUCAUCUGUGAUCAGCUUGCUGCAGGAGGCAGAAAGUAAAUCUGAACUUAGUCAGAACAUCUCUGCCCGGGAACAUUUUGUAUUUACCGAUAAUGAUGGCCAAGUUUAUCAUCUCACUGUUGAAGGAAACUCAGUAAAAGAUAGUGCUCGGAUUCCACCAGAUGGAAGUAUGGGUAGUAUUACCUGCAUCGCUUGGAAAGGUGAUACAUUAGUGCUUGGAGAUGUGGAUGGAAAUUUAAAUUUCUGGGACUUGAAAGGCAGAGUAUCCAGAGGAAUACCUACACACCGAAGUUGGGUGAGGAAGAUUCGUUUUGCUCCUGGUAAAGGAAAUCAAAAAUUAAUAGCAAUGUACAAUGAUGGAGCUGAAGUGUGGGAUACUAAAGAGAGCCUGUGUGGUGCCCCUAUCUCCUUGUUCCAAGGGCUUCUCUUGCCUUGAAAGCCUUCUUAUUACACCAGCCUUGGAAUGGACAGUAUUCUUUGGACAUUUCUUAUGUUGACUAUCCAGAAAAUGAAGAAAUAAAGAAUCUCCUCCAAGAACAGUUGAAUUCAUUGUCUAAUGACAUAAAGAAACUGUUGCUUGAUCCAGAAUUCACUCUCUUGCAGAGGUGCCUGCUUGUUUCAAGGCUCUAUGGUGAUGAAUCUGAGCUGCACUUCUGGACUGUCGCUGCCCACUACCUGCACAGCUUAUCCCAGGAAAAGUCAGCCAGCACAACAGCUCCUAAAGAAGCUGCUCCUCGAGACAAACUGAGCAACCCACUGGAUAUAUGCUAUGAUGUGCUCUGCGAAAAUGCCUA